CAAAUCCCGAUGUACAGGAAGGAGGCAUCUUCUUUCUGUGAAACAUCCUUUCGGGGAUGGGGCGCGGAUGGACCUGCGGUGCAUUAGUUGGUUGGCGGGGUAAAGGCCCACCAAGACGAUGAUGCAUAGCCGGCCUGAGAGGGCGGACGGCCACAUUGGGACUGAGACACGGCCCAGACUCCUGCGGGAGGCAGCAGUAGGGAAUUUUCGUCAAUGGGCGCAAGCCUGAACGAGCGAUGCCGCGUGAGUGAAGAAGGCCUUCGGGUCGUAAAGCUCUGUUGCGGGGGGAAAAAGGCAGCAUCAGGAAAUGGGUGCUGACUGAUGGUGCCCCGCCAGAAAGUCACGGCUAACUACGUGCCAGCAGCCGCGGUAAUACGUAGGUGGCGAGCGUUAUCCGGAAUGAUUGGGCGUAAAGGGUGCGCAGGCGGUCCUGCAAGUCUGGAGUGAAACGCAUGAGCUCAACUCAUGCAUGGGUUUGGAAACUGGAGGACUGGAGAGCAGGAGAGGGCGGUGGAACUCCAUGUGUAGCGGUAAAAUGCGUAGAUAUUAUGGAAGAACAC
rnacentral:rRNA from 1 species